AGACGAGGAAGGGAAGAGAAGGAGCGAACGAGGGAGAUAGAAGUGACGAUAAGGCUGCGGCGGUCAAAGAAGCGAUUGAUGGGGUGUUUUUUGAAGGUCUUUUACCUACACGAGACCUGGAAAAGUCGUGGUAGAAAA
rnacentral:ribozyme from 1 species